UGAUGAUGAUGAUGAUGAUGAUGAUGAUGAUGAUGAUGAUGAUGAUGAUGGCGAACAUCAUCAUCAUCACGAUCGUCAUUAGCAGCAUCAUCACGA
rnacentral:pre_miRNA from 1 species